rnacentral:rRNA from 1 species
GACGAACGCUGGCGGCGUGCCUAAUACAUGCAAGUCGAACGCUUCUUUCCUCCCGAGUGCUUGCACUCAAUUGGAAAGAGGAGUGGCGGACGGGUGAGUAACACGUGGGUAACCUACCCAUCAGAGGGGGAUAACACUUGGAAACAGGUGCUAAUACCGCAUAACAGUUUAUGCCGCAUGGCAUAAGAGCGAAAGGCGCUUUCGGGUGUCGCUGAUGGAUGGACCCGCGGUGCAUUAGCUAGUUGGUGAGGUAACGGCUCACCAAGGCCACGAUGCAUAGCCGACCUGAGAGGGUGAUCGGCCACACUGGGACUGAGACACGGCCCAGACUCCUACGGGAGGCAGCAGUAGGGAAUCUUCGGCAAUGGACGAAAGUCUGACCGAGCAACGCCGCGUGAGUGAAGAAGGUUUUCGGAUCGUAAAACUCUGUUGUUAGAGAAGAACAAGGACGUUAGUAACUGAACGUCCCCUGACGGUAUCUAACCAGAAAGCCACGGCUAACUACGU